rnacentral:rRNA from 1 species
CCUACGGGAGGCAGCAGUGGGGGAUAUUGCACAAUGGGGGAAACCCUGAUGCAGCGACGCCGCGUGUGGGAAGACGGUCCUCUGGAUUGUAAACCACUUUCCUCAGGGACGAAGAUGACGGUACCUGGGGAGGAAGCUCCGGCAAACUACGUGCCAGCAGCCGCGGUAAUACGCGGGGAGCGAGCGUUGUCCGGAAUUACUGGGUGAAAGGGGACCGGAGGUGGGGAUGCAAUUUGGGUGGCAAGACUACCGGCUAAACUGGUAGUCGCACUCGAAACUGGAGCUCUUGAGUGAAGUAGAGGCGGGCGGAAUUCCUAGUGUAGCGGUGAAAUGCGUAGAUAUUAGGAGGAACACCAGUGGCGAAGGCGGCCUGCUGGGCUUUUACUGACGCUGAGGCUCGAAAGUGUGGGGAGCAAACAGGAUUAGAUACCCGGGUAGUC